rnacentral:rRNA from 1 species
AUUGAACGCUGGCGGAAUGCUUUACACAUGCAAGUCGAACGGCAGCACGGACUUCGGUCUGGUGGCGAGUGGCGAACGGGUGAGUAAUGUAUCGGAACGUGCGCAGUCGUGGGGGAUAACGUAGUGAAAAUUACGCUAAUAACGCAUACGAUCUAGGGAUGAAAGCGGGGGAUCGCAAGAGCUCGCGCGAUUGGAGCGGCAGAUAUCAGAUUAGGUAGUUGGUGGGGUAAAGGCCCCCCAAGCCAACGAUCUGUAGCUGGUGUGAGAGGACGACCAGCCACACUGGAACUGAGCCACGGUCCAGACUCCUACGGGAGGCAGCAGUGGGGAAUUUUGGACAAUGGGCGAAAGCCUGAUCCAGCCAUGCCGCGUGCAGGAUGAAGGCCCUCGGGUUGUAAACUGCUUUUGUACAGAACGAAAAGGUUUCUACUAAUACUAGGAGCUCAUGACGGUACUGUAAGAAUAAGCACCGGCUAACUACGUGCCAGCCGCCGCCGUAA